CUUGCUCCCGGAUGUUAGCGGCGGACGGGUGAGUAACACGUGGGUAACCUGCCUGUAAGACUGGGAUAACUCCGGGAAACCGGAGCUAAUACCGGAUAGUUCCUUGAACCGCAUGGUUCAAGGAUGAAAGACGGUUUCGGCUGUCACUUACAGAUGGACCCGCGGCGCAUUAGCUAGUUGGUGGGGUAAUGGCUCACCAAGGCGACGAUGCGUAGCCGACCUGAGAGGGUGAUCGGCCACACUGGGACUGAGACACGGCCCAGACUCCUACGGGAGGCAGCAGUAGGGAAUCUUCCGCAAUGGACGAAAGUCUGACGGAGCAACGCCGCGUGAGUGAUGAAGGUUUUCGGAUCGUAAAGCUCUGUUGUUAGGGAAGAACAAGUGCGAGAGUAACUGCUCGCACCUUGACGGUACCUAACCAGAAAGCCACGGCUAACUACGUGCCAGCAGCCGCGGUAAUACGUAGGUGGCAAGCGUUGUCCGGAAUUAUUGGGCGUAAAGGGCUCGCAGGCGGUUUCUUAAGUCUGAUGUGAAAGCCCCCGGCUCAACCGGGGAGGGUCAUUGGAAACUGGGAAACUUGAGUGCAGAAGAGGAGAGUGGAAUUCCACGUGUAGCGGUGAAAUGCGUAGAGAUGUGGAGGAACACCAGUGGCGAAAGCGACUCUCUGGUCUGUAACUGACGCU
rnacentral:rRNA from 1 species